rnacentral:misc_RNA from 1 species
AUUCUUGACUGGCAUCUUAUCAAACAACAACUUAGCCAUUUCCAUAUCUCCCGCUUUACUAUAUCCUGAAACCAUAGACGACCACGAGACAACAUUCCUCCCUGGCAUUUUAUUAAACAACUCAAACGCUUCAUUCAUCUCUCCUGCCUUUGCAUACCCAUCUAAUAUAGUGUUCCAGCUAACAGUAUCUCUCACAGGCAUUUCGUCAAAAAGCGUGCGAGCUGCACUCAAAUCCCCUGCUUUUACCAACCCACCAAUCAUAGAAUUCCAGGAAACAAUAUCUUUCUCAUCCAUCGUCACAAAUAACUUCAUUGCAGAAUUAACGCCCAAUAAACCACACUUAGAGUAACUAUCAAUUAGUGAAUUAGGCACAAACAAAUCUCCGAAAAACCCACAUUUCUCCACAUGGCUAUGCAUCAUUUGCACUAAAGGCAACCAAGCCUGCCCAUUACAGGCCUUCAAAAGAAACGUGUAUGUGAAAUUAUCAGCAAAAACACCAUUCUUUUGCAUGUCAAAGAAAGCAGCAAAAGCCAAUGAAGGCUGCGAAUUCUGAACAUAAGCUCUUAUCAAAUUAUUAUACAAAUGAACAUUGAGGUCUUGAAUUUGGUUAAAAACAUUAACAGCUAAAGUCAUUUCGCGACAAAGAGAGAAGGCAGAUAUUAGCUUGGGAGCUACAUACAGGUCUCUGUGAAGAUCUCGUUUGAUUAUUUGGGCAUGAACUUCCUUUAUUUGGUUUAACUUGGUGCAUUUGUGGAGGUCUUGGAGACUUUGCUCAAAGAGCCUUCUUGUUGAAACCCAUGCUGGGGCUCUAAUUGGCGCUGACAUUUGUGUUGGUUUAGACAUAGAGGGGAACUUGCAUUGUUAGAGAGAUUUGGGGUUUGAGAAAUUUG